CGGAGGGUGCGAGCGUUGUCCGGAUUUAUUGGGUUUAGAGGGUGCGUAGGCGGUUUGAUAAGUCUGGGGUGAAAGCCCGUUGCUCAACAACGGAACUGCCCUGGAUACUGUCAGACUUGAGGACAGACGAGGUUGGCGGAAUAGAAGAUGUAGCGGUGAAAUGCAUAGAUAUCUUCUAGAACCCCGAUUGCGAAGGCAGCUGACUAGACUGUAACUGACGCUGAGGCACGAAAGCGUGGGAGCGAACAGGAUU
rnacentral:rRNA from 1 species